GAUAUUGCCCUGAACGCUUUCCAAAAGCUGUGUUAACCAAGCUCCCACAUUACUGAAACCCAUGUUCAUCAUAGCUUUAACGGCACAGUUAACGCGUUCAUCUACAUGAAAAAAAAAUGAAAGAUAUUUUGAUGCUAAAAAAUCGUAGAAGAGAAAUUUACCAGCAUGGUAAGUAAUUUCAAUAAAUGAUUCCGUUGGGGUUAUGGUAGUCAAAGUAGUCGUGUUUACGACACAUAGAUAGUAACGAUUUUAAGCUUCGCAUAACAGAUGUUUAUAUUUAAAUUAAAUAGUAUACAUGUUAGUAGAGUAGCUCACUUAAUAUGCUCUCUAAACAAUUGCAUGUGAAUCGUGAGACGUCCAAUAUUCGUUAUCAAGCCCAAAUGCAUAAGAAAUUAUGAAUGAUUUGGACGACGAAUAUGCUAAUAAAAAUACAAUACAUAAUGAACUAAAUAAAAGGCGAAUAAAAAAUAAUCAAAGGUCCACCAUACCAAGAAGUACAGGGAUAAGUCGUGCUUUAAGUAGAACAAAGUAAAGAUUAAAGAAGUCCGCCCACAAAGUUAAGUCAAUGGAAAAUCGGGCUUGGAGAACCGCAAGUAGAAGAUUAAAGAAGUCCGCCCGCAAAAUUAAGUCCAACUGUUCGCUCAUCGCCUCAUCGUAAUGUAAGAUUCGCUGCAUCCCAAAGGUAAGUUUGCAUUUAUCCUUACUUAUAAUUAUGUAUAAUUUAUUCAUUAAUUUUUAUUUUAUUUUAGAUUAAAAAGCAAGCAUACACCUCCACUCAUCGUUUCAGCAGAAUGCGAUACUUCCAAAGGCCAAUGGUAAGUUUGUGGUCGUCUUUAUAUAUAAAAUUCAGUAAUCACAAUAUUUUUCUUUUGCACAUGUCAGCACACCGAAAAGAUGUGACUAGGCAUAGCAGGAAUUUUUUAAAAUUUAUAUGUAUGUUGUGUAUUAUUAUGUAUUAUUAUUAUUGUAAAUACUAUUGUAAUAUUUAAUUAGGUCUAUAAUGGUGUAGGCAUAAAUGGGAGCCAGCCAUUUCAAACAAUUGGCAACGCGCCUAUCACGGUACCCCAAGGGUGGUGCGGAACACCGUGAAAACCAGGCUCUACACAUUCUUGUACUUUGCGGUUAUGUGGAAGAAGCCGCGACCUAUUAUAUUCUAUGUAUCAAAAAUUACGGCGCAAUAAUUUGGCGGUAACAUCCGUCAUGAGGCACAAUUCAAAAAUAUGCGAAAAUCGAUCGGCAGGUCUGUAAAAAUUUACAAAAACUAGUGAGGAGACGUUCAAGGGG